rnacentral:ncRNA from 1 species
AAAUAACAGAAGUAUUUUGCAUUUAACUUUCAUUAUAAUUCGCAGGUAAUGAUUUACUGUUUAACAUUUUUAAUUAUUUAUAGUCAGUUAGAUAAUUAAAUUAAUAACACGGAAGCUAGAGCUAAUACAUGUAGCAGAGCUCCGACCAUCUGGGGACGAGCGCUUUUAUUACACCACCAAUCGGACCUCGUGUCCGUAUUAUGUGGUGACUCUGUAUAACUUUGGGUUGAUAGCAAGGGCUCGUCCCAGCGACGUGUCUUUCAGGUGUCUGCCUUAUUACCCGUCGAUAGUAGGUUACGCGCCUACCAUGGUCAUAACGGGUGCCGGGGAAUCAGGGUUCGAUUCCGGAGAGAGAGCCUGAGAAACGGCUACCACAUCCAAGGAAGGCAGCAGACGCGCAAGUUACCCACUCCCAGAACGGGGAGGUAGUGACGAAAAAUAACAAUACGGGACUCUUUUUCAGACCCCAUGAACGGAAGAAGCACACUCUAAAUCCUUUAACGAAGAUCGGUUAGAAGGCAAGUCUGGUGCCGGCAGCCGUGGUAAUUUCAGCAAA